rnacentral:tRNA from 1 species
GAGUCCGUGGUCCAAUCGGGUUAAGACGCUUGCCUGAUACGCAAGAAAUUGCAGGUUCGAAUUCUGCCGGACUCACCG